rnacentral:tRNA from 1 species
AAAAAAUUAGUUAAAAAAAAUAACAUUAAUCUGUCUAAUUAAAAUCAUUAUAAUUAUUAAUAUUUUUUA